UACGUAGGGUGCGAGCGUUGUCCGGAAUUAUUGGGCGUAAAGAGCUCGUAGGCGGUUCGGUAAGUCGGAUGUGAAAUCUCCACGCUCAACGUGGAGGGGCCAUUCGAUACUGCCGUGACUCGAGUCCGGUAGGGGAGUGUGGAAUUCUCGGUGUAGCGGUGAAAUGCGUAGAUAUCGAGAGGAACACCUGCGGCGAAGGCGGGUUGCUGGGCCGACACUGACGCUGAUGCGCGAAAGCCAGGGGAGCGAACGGG
rnacentral:rRNA from 1 species